rnacentral:rRNA from 1 species
CCUACGGGAGGCAGCAGUGAGGAAUAUUGGUCAAUGGACGAGAGUCUGAACCAGCCAAGUAGCGUGAAGGAUGACUGCCCUAUGGGUUGUAAACUUCUUUUAUAUGGGAAUAAAACGUUCCACGUGUGGGAUUUUGUAUGUACCAUAUGAAUAAGGAUCGGCUAACUCCGUGCCAGCAGCCGCGGUAAUACGGAGGAUCCGAGCGUUAUCCGGAUUUAUUGGGUUUAAAGGGAGCGUAGGUGGAUUGUUAAGUCAGUUGUGAAAGUUUGCGGCUCAACCGUAAAAUUGCAGUUGAAACUGGCAGUCUUGAGUACAGUAGAGGUAGGCGGAAUGCGUGGUGUAGCGGUGAAAUGCUUAGAUAUCACGAAGAACUCCGAUUGCGAAGGCAGUUCACUGGACUGCAACUGACACUGAGGCUCGAAAGUGUGGGUAUCAAACAGGAGUAGAGACCCGGGUAGUC